rnacentral:lncRNA from 1 species
UUACAGGUGCCAGGCACCAGAGACCACAUUCCCAACACAAUCAGGCUGACAGGCUAUAAUGUAACCUGCAUUUACUUAUGUUUCUCCAAACUAUGCCCCUUGCACCUCUUCUCCAUCCUGAUGAUGUAUCCUAAACUUAGUUUAUAAUUCUAUUACUUUUUCUACAGUUUCAUCAUAAAUGUCAUACGUAAACAAAUAUACUGUUUAAUUUUGUUGUUGAGCAAAUUAUAGCUAAUACUUGUUUUU